AUUCAUAUAGUUUAAUGUUAAAACACUUCAUUUUCAAUGAAAAAAUGAACAUAAGUUCUAUGAAUA
rnacentral:tRNA from 1 species